UCUCAUGAAUGAGCAAAGAAAGUGGUUUCCUGAGAUGAAAUCUACUCCUGCUGCAGAUGCUAUGAG
rnacentral:pre_miRNA from 1 species